CUUCGCUCACUGCAGGCUCCGCCUCCCGGGUUCACGCCAUUCUCCUGCCUCAGCCUCCCGAGUAGCUGGAACUACAGGCGCCCGCCAUGAUGCCCGGCUCAUUUUCUGUGUUUUCAGUAGAGACGGGGUUUCACUGUGUUAGCCAGGAAAGUCUUGAUCUCCUGACCUCGUGAUCCUGACCUCGGCCUCCCAAAGUGCUGGGAUUACAGGCGCGAGCCACCGCGCCCGACAGCAGUUAUGAAGUUCUAAAAGCAAGUCUUAAUCAGGAAGUGUCCUUGAUCACCAACGGCUCGCCCAGGCAUGCUGGCUCUCUUCCACUUCCACCUUCCACCAUGGGAUGACGCAGUAAGAAGGCCAUCAGUAGAUGCCAGUCCCUCAACCUUGAACUUUCCAGACGCAGAACUUUAUGCCUCCAUUUUCCUCUGCUGCAUGGCCCCAGGAGAGAUUUUAAUUAGCUUUCUAACCUUGGUCCAGAUUGCACAUGCAAAUGGUAGAGGAUGCAACACCCCCGCUUGUGGAGCUGCCGCUUGUGUCUGGCAUGAAAAUUCACAAGAAGAGAGGAAAUACUGAGGAGAAAAUGGCAGAUUGUGUUUGCUGAAUUUGAUUGACGAAGAAGUCACCAUGAAAAUCACAGUGAACCAUUUGGAAAGCAAACUGCCAAAAAAUAAUAGUUAGUCAUGCUCUCAGGCUGGUUGUUUUGGCUGUUGUGGGUUUCUUGCAUUUCCAGAUGAUUGCAAAGAGCUGUUUCUCAAUUUCUGCAACAAGUGCCAGCUGAAAUUUUGGUACCAGUUUCAUUAAAUAUGUAGAACAAUUUGAGCCUGAGUGAGUUCUGUGGAGCCCAUACUACCUGCGAUUCAAGCCAGCAACCUUGGAAUCUCCCUGAACAAUUUCUAUGGUGUCCAAUCACAUUUGCAAUCACUCCCCACACUCAGACUGUGUAUUUUUGGCUGCUCUCCAAGCCCUUGAGGAAAACACUUGGAGUCAAUCUCAUCCUUUUGAUGCAGUGCUGAGUAAUGAGAGAUUUUAGAAGAUGGAAAAAAGAAAAAUACAUUGCACUCUGAAACAUUCUACAUAAAAAUGGAAUGUGUGGUCAUUAGAUUAACUCAGGCUUUGGACCUCGGGGCAUAAAACCCAUUUCCUCUUACACCAGUCUCUGAAGCUUAAAGGAUUCGUUAUUUCCAGUUGCAAAUGCCAUCAGAAAAGGAUUGUUUUUCUUUCUAGUACCACCAAGAAUGUAGUUUACCAUUGUGAAUAAACUGUCUUAAGCUUUCCCCGAAUAAAAUAAAUACAAAUGCUCCUCAACUUACAAUGAUGUUAUGUUCCAGUAAAACCACCACAAGUUGAAAAUACCAUCAGUCAAAAUACAUUUAAUACUCUCAACCCACCAAACAUCACAGCUUAUCUCAGCCCGACCUUAGACGCGCUCAGAACACUUACAUUAGCUUACAGUUGGGCAAAAUCAUCCACCACAAAACCU
rnacentral:lncRNA from 1 species